rnacentral:rRNA from 1 species
AGAAGUCGUAACAAGGUUCCGUAGGUGAACGUGUGGAAGGAUCAUUG